GGGGUUUUAGCUCAGUUGGUAGAGCGCUUCGCUGGCAGUGAAGAGGUCAGCGGUUCGAACCCGCUAAGCUCCACCA
rnacentral:tRNA from 1 species